UAACUGAAUCCAUAGGUUAAUGAGGCGAACCGGGGGAACUGAAACAUCUAAGUACCCCGAGGAAAAGAAAUCAACCGAGAUUCCCCCAGUAGCGGCGAGCGAACGGGGAGGAGCCCAGAGCCUGAAUCAGUGUGUGUGUUAGUGGAAGCGUCUGGAAAGGCGCGCGAUACAGGGUGACAGCCCCGUACACAAAAAUGCACAUACUGUGAGCUCGAUGAGUAGGGCGGGACACGUGGUAUCCUGUCUGAAUAUGGGGGGACCAUCCUCCAAGGCUAAAUACUCCUGACUGACCGAUAGUGAACCAGUACCGUGAGGGAAAGGCGAAAAGAACCCCGGCGAGGGGAGUGAAAAAGAACCUGAAACCGUGUACGUACAAGCAGUGGGAGCCUCUUUAUGGGGUGACUGCGUACCUUUUGUAUAAUGGGUCAGCGACUUAUAUUCUGUAGCAAGGUUAACCGAAUAGGGGAGCCGAAGGGAAACCGAGUCUUAACUGGGCGUUAAGUUGCAGGGUAUAGACCCGAAACCCGGUGAUCUAGCCAUGGGCAGGUUGAAGGUUGGGUAACACUAACUGGAGGACCGAACCGACUAAUGUUGAAAAAUUAGCGGAUGACUUGUGGCUGGGGGUGAAAGGCCAAUCAAACCGGGAGAUAGCUGGUUCUCCCCGAAAGCUAUUUAGGUAGCGCCUCGUGAAUUCAUCUCCGGGGGUAGAGCACUGUUUCGGCAAGGGGGUCAUCCCGACUUACCAACCCGAUGCAAACUGCGAAUACCGGAGAAUGUUAUCACGGGAGACACACGGCGGGUGCUAACGUCCGUCGUGAAGAGGGAAACAACCCAGACCGCCAGCUAAGGUCCCAAAGUCAUGGUUAAGUGGGAAACGAUGUGGGAAGGCCCAGACAGCCAGGAUGUUGGCUUAGAAGCAGCCAUCAUUUAAAGAAAGCGUAAUAGCUCACUGGUCGAGUCGGCCUGCGCGGAAGAUGUAACGGGGCUAAACCAUGCACCGAAGCUGCGGCAGCGACACUAUGUGUUGUUGGGUAGGGGAGCG
rnacentral:rRNA from 1 species